GGGUCUUUAGCUUAAUGGUAAAGUUUCCUUUCGUCAUGAGGAAGUUGCCAGUUCGAUUCUGGUAAGACUCG
rfam:Serendipita vermifera MAFF 305830 unplaced genomic scaffold scaffold_150, whole genome shotgun sequence.